rfam:Capsicum annuum cultivar Zunla-1 chromosome 12, whole genome shotgun sequence
UGAACAUAUGAGUUCGUGCCUAAAAUUGAAAUGAUACAGAGAAGAUUAGUAUGACCCAUGCGCAAGGAUAAUACGCGCAAGUCCGGAAAUGGUCCAACUUUUU